CAGCAGCCGCGGUAGGACGAACCGUGCAAACGUUACUCGGAAUCACUGGGCUUAAAGCGCACGUAGGCGGCGACAUAAGUUAGAGGUGAAAUCCCAUCGGCUCAACCGUGGAACUGCCUCUAAUACUGUGUUGCUUGAGGGAGAACGGGGCAUUCGGAACUUCCGGUGGAGCGGUGAAAUGUGUUGAUAUCGGAAGGAACGCCGGUGGCGAAAGCGGAAUGCUGGGUCUCUUCUGACGCUGAGGUGCGAAAGCUAGGGUAGCGAACGGGAUUAGAUACCCGCGUAGUCCCUGUCUCUUAUA
rnacentral:rRNA from 1 species